AUGAUGGCCUAUGCCAUCACAAUGAGAAGGAUGAUCCCUACGCCACCAAAGAAAUGCUCUGCAAAGGCCUUGGCCAUGCAACCUUCAAAGGAUAUGGUAGUGCUCUCAGAGAGGGUGUCCGCAGUCAUCUUGGGGACAAUGGCAGAAGAGAAAGUGGCAUCUGUGAUAGACAAGGAAGUAAGGAAAAAAAUACAUAGUGGGAGUUGGAUUGAUCUCUGAAUGACCUUUCUUGACUUCAUCACCCGAUCUCUUAGCAAAUCUUCAGCAUCACCCUCAGCACCAGCACCAGCAGCUAACCCACCCAUGUGGGCAGAGCUGCCCAUAAAUAAAUGUGUGUACUUUUAUAUAGAGAAAUACA
rnacentral:lncRNA from 1 species